rnacentral:tRNA from 1 species
AGUAGCUCAGUUGGUUAGAGCGCGCGCUUGAUAAGCGUGAGGUCGGAGGUUCAGGGAGGCGAACCCGGCGAACUG